rnacentral:rRNA from 1 species
CUGGCCGUAAACGAUGAACACUAGAUGUUGGGGGAAUCGACCCCCUCGGUGUCGUAGCUAACGCGUUAAGUGUUCCGCCUGGGGAGUACGCACGCAAGUGUGAAACUCAAAGGAAUUGACGGGGGCCCGCACAAGCGGUGGAGUAUGUGGUUUAAUUCGAUGCAACGCGAAGAACCUUACCAAGGCUUGACAUCCUGCGAAUCUCCAAGAAAUUGGAGAGUGCCUUUUGGAACGCAGUGACAGGUGGUGCAUGGCUGUCGUCAGCUCGUGUCGUGAGAUGUUGGGUUAAGUCCCGCAACGAGCGCAACCCACGUUUUUAGUUGCCAGCAUUAAGUUGGGCAUUCUGGAAAGACUGCCGGUGACAAACCGGAGGAAGGUGUGGACGACGUCAAGUCAUCAUGCCCCUUACGCCUUGGGCUACACACGUACUACAAUGCUGCGGACAAAGAGUAGCGAUCUUGCGAAAGUUAGCUAAUCUCGUAAACCGUGGCUCAGUUCAGAUCGUAGGCUGCAACUCGCCUACGUGAAGGAGGAAUCGCUAGUAAUCGCAGGUCAGCAUACUGCGGUGAAUACGUUCCCGGGCCUUGUACACACCGCCCGUCACACCAUGGAAGUUGGCCAUGCCCGAAGUCGUUACUCUAACCUUUUGGAAGAGGGCGCCGAAGGCAGGGCUAAUGACUGGGGUGAAGUCGUAACAAGGUAGCCGUAGCGGAAGCUGCGGCUGGAUCACCUCCUAA